rnacentral:rRNA from 1 species
GAACGCUAGCGGGCAGGGCUUAACNCAUGCAAGUCGAGGGGCAGCGUGGAGCAGCAAUGCUCUGACGGCGACCGGCGGAAGGGUGCGUAACACGUGAGCGACUUGCCCGUCACAGGGGGAUAACCGGCGGAAACGGCGACUAAUACCCCAUAUGAUGCGAUGCUGCAUGGCAUUGCAUUGAAGAUUCAUCGGUGGCGGAUAGGCUCGCGGGACAUUAGCUAGACGGCGGGGCAACGGCCCACCGUGGCGACGAUGUCUAGGGGUUCUGAGAGGAAGGCCCCCCACACUGGGACUGAGACACGGCCCAGACUCCUACGGGAGGCAGCAGUGAGGAAUAUUGGUCAAUGGGCGGAAGCCUGAACCAGCCAUGCCGCGUGAAGGACUAAGGCCCUACGGGUCGUAAACUUCUUUAGACGCAGAGCAAUAAGGUCCACGCGUGGACCGAUGAGAGUAUGCGUAGAAUAAGCAUCGGCUAACUCCGUG